CCCUUAGAUGUUCUGGGCCGCACGCGCGCUACACUGAUGCAUUCAACAAGCCUAGCCUUGACCGAGAGGUCCGGGUAAUCUUUGAAACGGCAUCGUGAUGGGGCUAGAUUAUUGCAAUUAUUAAUCUUCAACGAGGAAUGCCUAGUAAGCGUGAUUCAUCAAAUCGCGUUGAUUACGUCCCUGCCCUUUGUACACACCGCCCGUCGCUCCUACCGAUUGAAUGUGUUGGUGAGGAGCUCGGAUUGGCAGCAGUUGGUGGUUCGCCACCGGCUAUUGCUGAGAAGUCCUCCAAACCGCCCCAUUUAGAGGAAGGAGAAGUCGUAACA
rnacentral:rRNA from 1 species